GACAGAGGGUGCGAACGUUGCUCGGAAUUACUGGGCGUAAAGCGCGUGUAGGUGGCUCCGCGAGUCCGAUGUGAAAGCCCAGGGCUCAACCCUGGAAGUGCAUUGGAUACUACGGAGCUGGAGGCCUGGAGAGGUAAGCGGAAUUCCCGGUGUAGAGGUGAAAUUCGUAGAUAUCGGGAGGAACACCUGUGGCGAAGGCG
rnacentral:rRNA from 1 species